UUUUGAAACUUUCGGCAGCGGUGGCGGAGGUUCGUUCGUGCUGUUAGUUUGCAUAAAGUGAUAACGAGUUUUCGAAUAGAAAACUCCGAAUCGUGUUUGCUUGAACGGCAAACAACAGUGCUUUAUUUCAGUUCGAGCACCUGUAUUCACUUGGAAGCCACAUUUGAAUUUCUGUAGGCCGCUAGGAAUGACCCAGUGUGAGCUAAUAUACUGUCACACUCUAUCUCAACAGUGGCAGACUGGCCGACAACACUGCUGCUUGAGCCUCAUUUGUGCCUCAAAGAAAAAUAAUACUCGAAACCAUUGGGCCCGCCAAUCCCUGUGUGAGCAGCUGCAUCUUUCCCUGAGAUAGCAUGAAGAAGGAAGUUCUGUAGAUAUGAUCUCAUUGGCCAACUUUCUGCAUAGGAGUACGUAGAAGAUUGCAACAAAGCAUUCCAGGGUGAAAAUUAAGCCUUUCUGGUUAGAAAUGGAGGGCCUCCGAACCAAAACAUGGCUCUAGGGCUCACAAUCUCUUUGUGGUAGGCCAGCCACAGUUCAGUUGUAAUUCCAAAUGGUAACUAUCGAAAGCACCACAAAUCAGUUUUAUGUGUGUGCGGUGUGGCAAAGGUAUAGUUCUUGCAGCCAUCAUUUAAGCAAAAUAAGUCUUCUAGAACUUUGGUUACUGGAAAGAUAUACUCAAGAGAGCAAUGUGAAUGCCCCUGUGCUGCCUUUUAAGCUUACAAUUCCGUCCAUGUCAUAGCCUGUUCUUUAUCUGCACUGUUUGCUUUAUUGGAAAAUAAAGUCGAUUCCAUUUAGUGAUGCUCUCGAAAAAAAAAUCUUUGUCCUUGUACCCAUGUUAUAAACAUUUGAAUUACCAUUUUAACAAGACAUUUUUAAAAAUUUUUGGUGCAUUGAUAAUUAAGAUUUCUAGAUUCUCUGUAAAGAAGUUGCAUUUACUAAGGACCCGCUCUAUUAGUCAUAUUCAUGAGAACCAUACUGAAUCACAUUUGUAUUUAUGAAAUAAACUGCAUUUCUUUUACUGCUCCUUUAAGAAUCUAUGAAAAAUUAUGCAAGGCUGUGUUUGUGUAGAGACGGGAAACAGCCUUUCUGCAUGCUGUUUUAUCUCGUUUAAUAUGCACUCUCCACACACUUGCACUCAGUUCUGCUGCCAUUAGUAUUGCAUGCAACUGUUUAGACUGCAGUUUACCUGAGCCGUUAGUGGUGUUUAUUGGCUUUAUUCAGUUGUGGAAAUGGCAAUGUGGCUUUUGCAUGUGGAUCCACGCAUUUUCAUACCAGUGCAAGAUACUUAUGGCCUGUGGAACAAGGGAAACAGAAUCGUGUGCAUUUGUUGCACUAUGUCAGACAGACGUGCUUAUUAAGUGCACUGCUAGAGCCGGCAUGUAUAGCAUGCUAAUACUGAUCCGCUAAGUUUCGCAAUAUAAUGGUCCUUCCUGGCUCAUAAAACGCAGAACAAUUUACAAACAUGGUGCUCGAGCAUUGAGAGUGGCUGAAGAAAAUGAGUGGACUGCAGUGCUUUACAUGCGCUCUGUGUGUGCUUAGGCUGAAGUGCUACACUUGUUUAAUCUGUGUCUUAAAUUC